CAAGUCGAACGCGAAAGUGGAGCAAUCCAUGAGUAGAGUGGCAAACGGGUGAGUAACACGUGGGUGACCUGCCNNUCGAGCGGGGGAUAACGUCCCGAAAGGGACGCUAAUACCGCAUAACAUCCUGCCUUUUAAGAGGUGGAGAUCAAAGCCGGGGAUCGCAAGACCUGGCACUUGAAGAGGGGCCCGCGCCUGACUAGCUAGUUGGUGGGGUAAUGGCUCACCAAGGCAACGAUCAGUAUCCGGCCUGAGAGGGCGGACGGACACACUGGGACUGAGACACGGCCCAGACUCCUACGGGAGGCAGCAGUGGGGAAUUGUUCGCAAUGGGCGCAAGCCUGACGACGCAACGCCGCGUGGAGGAUGAAGAUCUUCGGGUCGUAAACUCCUUUCGAUCGAGACGAAUGGCCUCUGGGUGAACAAUCCAGGGGAAUGACGGUACCGAGAGAAGAAGCCCCGGCUAACUCCGUGCCAGCAGCCGCGGUAAUACGGGGGGGGCAAGCGUUGUUCGGAAUUACUGGGCGUAAAGGGCUCGUAGGUGGCCAACUAAGUCAGACGUGAAAUCCCUCGGCUUAACCGGGGAACUGCGUCUGAUACUGGAUGGCUUGAGUUUGGGAGAGGGAUGCGGAAUUCCAGGUGUAGCGGUGAAAUGCGUAGAUAUCUGGAGGAACACCGGUGGCGAAGGCGGCAUCCUGGACCAAUACUGACACUGAGGAGCGAAAGCCAGGGGAGCAAACGGGAUUAGAUACCCCGGUAGUCCUGGCCCUAAACGAUGAAUGCUUGGUGUGGCGGGUAUCGAAUCCCUGCCGUGCCCGAAGCUAACGCAUUAAAGCAUUCCCCCCUGGGGAAUUACGGUC
rnacentral:rRNA from 1 species